UUUUUUUUUUUUUUUUUGAGACAGAGUCUAGCUCUGGUGCCCAGGCUGGAGUGCAGUGGCACGAUCUUGGCUCAUGGCAACCUCCCCCCCACCGGGCUCAAGCAAUUCUUCCGCCUCAGUCUCUGAGUAGUUGGGACUACAGACAUGUACCAUCACGCCUGGCUAAUUUUUGUAUUUUUAGUAGAGAUGGAGUUUCACUGUGUUGGCCAGGCUGGUCUCAAACUCCUGAGCUCAAGUGAUCCGCCUGCCUCAGCCUCUCAAAGUGCUGGGAUUACAGGUGUGAGCCACCACACCCGGCCUCUAAGGCUCUUUUGAUUGCUUUUUGAAUUUUGGUUAUGUUUGGGAUCAAAGAAGGAUGCUUGUUCUUAUUUCUGGGCAAAUGGAAGACCUUUUACCUUCUUGAAAUCUGAUCAGAAAAAAAAAAAAGAAAAACUUUUUGCAAGGUUGGAGAGUCAUUAAGUGGGGUGGGAAGGUGAGGCGGGUCUUUUGGGUUCUCUUCCCACAAAGUAGGCUGGUAGCCUUGAGUAUGAGAUGGGAAACCCAUGGCUCCGUCUCUGGGGGGAGAGUUUCUUCUCCUCCAACCCAAGCCCUGAGUCUGGACGCCCGAGCUUUUAUUCCUGACUCCAGUGGCAACUCUCUCUAAAGUCAUCUCCCACCUCCGGGCCAGGCUGUUGGACAUGCAGCUCUUCCCCUGCCGCCGCCACAGAGUUUGCAGAGUAAGCCCAGCGCUGCAGAGGUGACCAGUGCCGUGCAGAUGUGAGGACUUGCGUGGACUCGACUUUGUCAGUGCCGUGAUUGCGUUCCCCCCGGAGCUGACCAUGUGAGCAGGUGUUAGAGCUGUCUCUGGAGAACUGAGUGUUAGAACCUGUGCGCCUGCCUGUCAGGGUGGUUAUGGGCAUUUAGUCAGGAGGGUGGAUGGUUCUCAGAACCCAGGGGGGCAGAGGCAUUCGGAACUGCCUGGCAUUCUCACUUCCACUGGUUUCUUUACCAGCACCCACUUGCAUUUUGUUUAGCAAACCCGGAACUCAGCGGCAGCAUGGUCCACCCAAGGGUGGGCCAGGGCAGAGGGCCUGCAUGCCACAGGGAGAACAGAAAGGGAGCAGAGGCAUUUUGUAGAGUGAGUUUUCCAACCCCUCUUAUGAUCCUUCCUCCAUUCUAAAGCAAAGGACAUAAAUACUAAACUGUGGUUCUUGCCAGUGCUGAUAAGGAAAACCAGUGAAUGCAGGAGUCUCAUUAAGAAAAUCUUAAAAUUUUAGUCUUAUCACUGCUGCAACAUAAUACAGUAAGUAUGUUAAUUCUAACCUCCCUCGGCUUCCCCCACCCAAAAUCCCUUUCAGCUAAGGCUGGCAGGAAUGAACUGCGCUCUGGCCAUAGACUGAAGUCACGUCUGUUUGGAUUUUUUCCCUCGCCUUGGCUUCGUGUAGUGAGUCUCCUAUUUGGGUGGACAUGGCUUUUACCCCCUCACACUUCCAGCUGCCUUUGCCAUUAUUCAGUUCAACAAACAUUGAGGAAAUACCUACUGUGUGCAGGCCACAGUCAUAGGAGCUGGGAAAUGUCAGAGUCAGCUGAGUUCAUCUCUUUGCAAGAGCCAAUAAGCCGACGAGGGAGCAAUGAUUUAUAGGCCAAGCCUGCCAGCCGGCCUUGUCCCCAGCAAAGACUCAUUUCAACAAGCUUCUCUUCCAAGUGAUUAUUUGCUG
rnacentral:lncRNA from 1 species